GAAGGGCAUUUGUGGGGUACCUUCUGUAAGCGGGGUGCUCUCGGUGCUUUUACACACCUAGGGAGUUUGCUGUUGGCCUGCGAAGACCCUUUAUGGGACAUGGAUCAAAAGUGCUGUUCCUCGAGAUACUUACCUCCAGUAUAGGAUCCUGGUGUCAAAAGGAAUCAGAUACGGCUCCAUUGUACAUGGCAUGACUUGUAUAGCCAGACAGAGCAGGUGUGGAAACUUCUGGAUGCCUGCUCUUGUGAGUUCACCUCUAUGUCUACUCUACUGAGGCCUCUCCAUACAGGUCUCAGUUUCCUGCCUUCCUGGGAAGUGGGGAAAGGCUGAGAGGCCCCGUGCUGGGGGUGAAGCUAAUUCAUUAGUUACGCCUCAACAAGGACCGGGUGCCUGCAGUGCCAGCGUGAUUCAUCAUGAUGAUUGCCCCACUGCCAGCCUGCGUGGGCCUGGAACGCCAGCACAUUUUACCUUUACCCACUGAGAAGGGCCUGGUGGGAGGUGAAGGUACAGGAUCUGCCGAGAGCAAGAAAAAGACUCUGAGAAAGAAGAGGGCUGGUCCUCCAUGCUCUCGGCCCCAGGAAGCUCUGCCAGGCUGGUGCCGGGGUGGAGAGGCUCAUGUGGGCUCAUGUGGUGCUGCCUGUGCUGAUGGAGCCCAAGAGGGCAGCCUGGCGCUGGGUGCCAGCCUGAGCAUGUGGCGAGGCUGGGCUGCUGAGCCUCCUCCUCCACAGCCAAUGUUCCCUCAAACUGCUUGGGGGUGGGGGGAGGGACUCAUCCUCAUCCCAUUAGCCUGGCUGGGUAUUCCCUACCUUUCUGGUCUCUGAGAGACUUACCUCUUCCAAGAAGUCCUCCCGAAUGAGUAGAAGGGAGAGAGCUGGAUUGGAACUUAAGUGACAUCUGGGAGGAGCCUGAAGCCCCUCCGGUUGGGGCUGAGACUCCUAUACCCUAGGUCUGGUGUCUGGGUUCCACCUGGGUCCUCUACCUUGGCCUGGAUUCCUGCUUUCGUUUUGCCAGUCUCUCCCAGGAUGGGGGUGCAUGGCUGGUUCGUGGCUCAGAGCAACAUCUGCCUCUGUGUCCCCCCAUCAUCUGUCCGCCCCCUAACACCUCUUGCCAUAUUAGAAUUGCUAUUGCUCUGUCCUUUCAUUCAUGUAUCCAACAAAUAUAUAUUAUCUG
rnacentral:lncRNA from 1 species